rnacentral:lncRNA from 1 species
AUCAGAUGUUACUUACUUAAAAAAAUUUUUUUUAAUUAAAUUCUUUAUUUUUGCGAUGACAACAUUCAAUGAUAGGUUACACUGAGGUUGGAAGGUACUUAUAGGUAAAAUAUAUAUAGCGUACAAUGCAGUAUUACAGGCAUCAAAUUGUAGAAUAACAUUCGUUACAGUAUUCCAGACAAUGUAUUCCUUUGUGAGAAAAGCAAGGACAAGCUGUCAAGGUAUUUUGUUUAAAACAUAGGAAAAAUAAAGGUAUAACAGAAAGGUAGAAAAAGAUUUAGGAAAAAUCACAAUAGUAUGGUCAUUGGGAUGUAUGCACUUUGCUAUGUGAGUAAUGUAGGUGGCAGCCGAAGUUCAUUUGUACCACCGUUCCUGAUGCCACAUUUUCUAUUCAUUUGCAUUUUCUUUUCUUCUUUUGGUUUGUUUUUAGUGGUUUCUAAUGAAACAUUAAGAGUCUCGCUUAUAAGGAUGAACAUGGCAGUGUAGUGCAGUCAAGUCAGUGCCAAAUGUAUUUGUGUGUAGGUUUUAAGUGGUGAGGGACAUUUGUAAUCACUUGGAGCCGAUGUCAGUAGUCAUACAUGGCUGAAAUGUGGCAAAGCCCAAGAGUCAAUGAGGUGCGGAGUAGCAGUAUAAUGAGCUCACCAUUCUGUGAGGUGCAGGAUGCAAUGCAGUCUUGUUGGCCUUUAAAAUUUUUUAUCUCCUGCUCUGUAAAUUGAACUUUAAGGCUCCUGCAGGGUCUAGCAAGGUAUUAACAGAGCAGGAGAAAAUACAUUUUAAAUUAAACACAAUUUGCAGUAAAGGAAGUGUAAACAUUAGAUGACUCUUUACAGGAAGCCUGUGUAACUCACAUGCAGGGAGGUGUGCCUAUGGCAGCAUAAACAAAGUGAUAUAAAUCCUAAAUGCCAGAGAAUUGAGCAGUGAGAACGCAGAGGCAUUAUCUAGACAGCAAAAAUCUGCUUCAUUAAAAGACCACUAUAGUGCCAGGAAAACAAACUAGUUUUCCUGGCACUAUGUAGUCCUUAGGUCCCCCCCACCCUCAUGGCCCCCCUCCAGCUGGGCUGAAGGGGUAAAAACCCCUCCAAGAGCGUCCUCACAUCUAUUCAUAUAGAAUUCUUAGUAUUCCCCCCACAAGAUUCUACUAACUAAAUCACCAUAGUGCUGAAAAAAAACAGUGAGGUGAUCAAUAAAGAAAAAUAGUAAGCCGACGCGCGAUUCAGCGCUUCUAGAGCACCUUCAUCCGGGGCAUUCAAGCCAGCCCCUCACCUAGGUCUCUUUUUAUCUGUCAGUGUAAACCAGUCACAUGGUGACUCCAGCCAAUAGCCACCCUGGAGGGCAUGUAAAUACUUAGACAAUUAACUGAUACCUUCUCUCCGAUUUUGCCCCUAGCAUACCACCCAUGUGUGGAGAGUCACUCCCUCCUCCACAGCUCAUCAACGCAAUGAGGAGGAUGGGAGGAGUCACACUAGGCGGAAUCAUGUUCAAAGUGUGUGGUCUCCUAACGUAUGAUUACCUAAUAACCCACAUCAAAGGGGUUUAAGAGGGGGUGAACACUUUAAAACACAAGUGUUGAACACCCAUGCUUAUUACCAUGUCCCAUAUUCAAUGAUAUGGUGGGUUAUUUACAUCAAUGUAUGGCAUUCCAGUAUACAGC